rnacentral:lncRNA from 1 species
GUUCCUACAGUGCUCUCGGGAUCCAUUUGGAAAUGGCACUGAACCUGGCCAGGAGUUAGUAAUAUUUUCAGUGAAUAAUCUCGUUUCUGUUAGCGACCUGAGAGCUUCGGGUGAUAAAACAGCCCACACAAGAACAUGCAGAAGCAGAAAAUGCAAGAUAAUGCGUGUGUGGGGUAAUGAGUACUUGCACCAUAAAUCAAGGAGCUCUCUGGCAGAGGACUGCGAAAAUACCCAGGCUUGUUAGUCAAUGGGGAAAGGAAGCUAACAGUUUAAAAUGCAGUUGCGAAGAGAGCCCCGCAAAUGUGACUGAUGUGUGUGAGGUCAAACCUCUGAGUUGCCUGUGAGACAUUACUGUGUCCUGGACUGACGAACCGUGUCCAGGAAAAGGAACCUGUACAGAAAUACACCCAGGAGGGUUACUGGAGCAGAGCAAAGCUUAUCUACAAGAAUACACUUGGAAUAUUUGUCUGGCUAAUGCGGCAAAAGCAAACGUGGAGGAGGGGGUAUGGCUGCUGGUAACAAAAAAGCAAGGGCAGAAUCAAGGAGUGGCCAUUCAAGCUAAUAAACAAGGUUGAUAGAACAGCGUAGAUCUAAAUUAGAGAAGCUGCUGACGGCUGGUUUCUGGUGAGGAGGGUGAUCGGAAUGAAGAUGCAACAGGAGUGCUCACACAGAACAGAUUCACGCCAGCUGGUCAGUGUGGAGAUGGUCAAGUUUCAUAGGCAGUGAAGCCUUUUGUCACUUAAUGAUAGUGGGAUGAUGCGUGCAGGGACAAAGGGAACAGAAAAAUGGGAUGCACGGGGACAGCUUUUAUGGCUUGGAAGAUGGUAAAGGAAGGGCAGAAUGG